UACGAGGGGGGCGAGCGUUGUUCGGAAUUAUUGGGCGUAAAGGGUGCGUAGGCGGUUUGGUAAGUCUGAUGUGAAAGCCCUGGGCUCAACCUGGGAACUGCGCUUGGGACGGAUGGGCUUGAGAUCGGGAGAGGAGAGUGGAAUUCCCAGUGUAGAGGUGAAAUUCGUAGAUAUUGGGAAGAACACCGGUGGCGAAGGCGGCUCACUGGCUCAUUACUGACGCUCAGGCGCGAUAGCGUGGGGAUCAAACAGG
rnacentral:rRNA from 1 species